AAAAUAUUGAUGUGCAAGGUGAAUUGGAUUAACAGGUGUUCUUAAUCAGGUUAUAACCGUUGACCAUGGCUUCCGAUUACGCAUUCACACAAGAGGAAUUGAACAUCAGCGACGGCGUUGGGUACCCAAAUGCCUAUGCUGAGCUCUGCCGCAACCGCCACGCUAAGUUGUAUAGUCAUGGCCCUCCAUUCACUUUCAUGCCUUACUGUCUGCAGCAACAAUAGGAUUUAAUAGCAAGAGAAUUAGAAAAGAUGUUUCCCAUUGUCGACCCCAAGGCAAAACCUACUGCCAGGCCCAAGAUUUUUGUUAGUCUGCUGUGGAAGCAACUCAACCACCUUGGGAAUGCUGGGUUUGAUCCUGCAGUGAUUCGAGUAGACCCGUAGGGCAAUGUUCUGUAUUACCAUGCUGAUUCUGCUUCUCCUCUUGCUUGGGAUAUAGAUCAUUGGUUUCCUUGCUCAAGUACCUUGGCUUUUGAGGUUUGUAUCUCUUCUUCAUUUGUGUUGAGACAGAUUGGUGUUCUUUGUUGGGUAGUUGGGUAUUAAGGUUGCAGUUAGGGUGAACACAAUUGUGUUAACCUCUUCUUAUGAUCAUCGUCGGUUUCUCUAUGGUUAACCCUACUGGGUUGUUGUUCUUCCCGUCUUUUCUCGAUCUUCAUUGGUGUUUUCUCCCUCUGAAACUACUUCUGAAUCAGCUUGGUCAGCAUUUCCUCUUCAAUUUCUGUCUUCCUUAAAAGUAUCUCCUUUUUCAUUACCACUACCAGUUAAAUGAAUUCCCAGUUUUUGUUAUAUUUUGAUCAGAAUCGAAGACCCAAGCAAGGAUUUCUGGAGAAACCAUCUGAGAGGCUCUGCCUAUUGGUUGUGAUCAAGGUUGCUAACAUAUUGUUGAUCAGAUCAGGUCAGGUUAUUCCGUUUUUGGUUUAGCGAUGGAUGUUUUUUAGUUUUUUAGUUUGGAAUUGAUUAUAUUCAUUGUACGGUUCGAAUCAAAACUGAAUUGAAUUGAAAUGGAAACUGUUUUUUCUUCUGGGUUUUGAUGUUUAUUUUUUUCUUGGUCCAAGAGGAUUUCUGAAGGUUGAAAUUUUUUUGUUCUCA